CGCACGACUCUCGACAACGGAUAUCUCGGCUCUCGCAUCGWUGAASAACGUAGCGAAAUGCGAUACUUGGUGUGAAUUGCAGAAUCCCGUGAACCAUCGAGUCUUUGAACGCAAGUUGCGCCCGAAGCCAGGMUAAGGGCASGUCUGCCUGGGCGUCACGC
rnacentral:rRNA from 1 species